GGGGCCAUGCGCGCUACCUGCAGUCGAGCGGAACGGCAGCAUUGAAGCUUCAGUGGAUUUGCUGGACGUCGAGCGGCGGACGGGUGAGUAACGGCUGGGAACCUGCCCUGACUAGGGGGAUAACCGUUGGAAACGACGGCUAAUACCGCAUAAUGUCUUAGUUCAUUACGAGCUGGGACCAAAGGUGGCCUCUACUUGUAAACUAUCGCGUUGGGAUGGGCCCAGUUAGGAUUAGCUAGUUGGUAAGGUAAUGGCUUACCAAGGCGACGAUCCUUAGCUGGUUUGACAGGAUGAUCAACCACACUGGGACUGACACACGGCACAAACUCCUACGGGAGGCAGCACUGGGGAAUAUUGCACAAUGGGGGAGACCCUGAUGCAGCCAUGCCGCGUGUGUGAAGAAGGCCUUCGGCUUGUAAAGCACUUUCAGCAGUGAGGAAGGUGGUGUACUUAAUAAGUGCAUGGCUUGACGUUAGCUGCAGAAGAAGCACCAGCUAACUCCGUGCCAGCAACCGCGGUAAUACGGAGGGUGCGAGCGUUAAUCGGAAUUACUGGGCGUAAAGCGCAUGCACGCGGUUUGUUAAGUCAGAUGUGAAAGCCCGGGGCUCAACCUCGGAACCGCAUUUGAAACUGGCAGGCUAGAGUCUUGUAGAGGGGGGUAGAAUUUCAGGUGUAGCGGUGAAAUGCGUAGAGAUCUGAAGGAAUACCAGUGGCGAAGGCGGCCCCCUGGACAAAGACUGACGUUCAGAUGCGAAAGCGUGGGUAGCAAACAGGAUUAGAUACCCUGGUAGUCCACGCCGUAAACGCUGUCUACUUGGAGGUUGAGGUUUAGACUUUGGCUUUCGGCGCUAACGCAUUAAGUAGACCGCCUGGGGAGUACGGCCGCAAGGUUAAAACUCAAAUGAAUUGACGGGGGCCCGCACAAGCGGUGGAGCAUGUGGUUUAAUUCGAUGCAACGCGAAGAACCUUACCUACUCUUGACAUCCAGCGAAUCCUUUAGAGAUAGAGGAGUGCCUUCGGGAGCGCUGAGACAGGUGCUGCAUGGCUGUCGUCAGCUCGUGUUGUGAAAUGUUGGGUUAAGUCCCGCAACGAGCGCAACCCUUAUCCUUGUUUGCCAGCACAUAAUGGUGGGAACUCCAGGGAGACUGCCGGUGAUAAACCGGAGGAAGGUGGGGACGACGUCAAGUCAUCAUGGCCCUUACGAGUAGGGCUACACACGUGCUACAAUGGCAGAUACAGAGGGCAGCGAAGCUGCGAAGUGGAGCGAAUCCCUUAAAGUCUGUCGUAGUCCGGAUUGGAGUCUGCAACUCGACUCCAUGAAGUCGGAAUCGCUGUAAUCGGAUCGAAUGCUGAUCGCC
rnacentral:rRNA from 1 species